UACGUAGGGUGCAAGCGUUGUCCGGAAUUAUUGGGCGUAAAGAGCUCGUAGGCGGUGUGUCGCGUCUGCUGUGAAACUCAAGGCUCAACUCUGAGCUUGCAGUGGGUACGGGCAGACUAGAGUGCGGUAGGGGAGACUGGAAUUCCUGGUGUAGCGGUGAAAUGCGCAGAUAUCAGGAGGAACACCGGUGGCGAAGGCGGGUCUCUGGGCCGUAACUGACGCUGAGGAGCGAAAGCGUGGGGAGCGAACAGG
rnacentral:rRNA from 1 species